rnacentral:snRNA from 1 species
GGACGUGAGGGCGGUCUGACUGCGACAUCUGUCACCCCAUUGAUCGCCAGGGUUGAGGGUUGGUUUGGCUGAUCUGGCUGGCUAAGUGGGUGUCUCCUUCCUCCCUCACUGCUCCAUGUGCGUCCCUCCCAAAGCUGCGCACUUGGUCGAAGAGGACGACCUUCCCCAAAUAGAGAAGGACCGGUCUUCGGUCAAGGGUCUACGAGCAGCUGCGCUCCCCUGCUAGAACCUCCAGACAAGCUCUCAGAAAUGGAAAAUAUUUGAACACCUUUAAAUGUAAGUGAGGCAAAAACCAGGAAAACAGACGUUUCAACCUGGAUGAGAAAAAGAACAUUUUAAUACCUUUUUGC